UGGGGAAUAUUGCACAAUGGGCGAAAGCCUGAUGCAGCGACGCCGCGUGCGGGAUGAAGGCCUUCGGGUUGUAAACCGCUUUUGAUUGGGAGCAAGCGAGAGUGAGUGUACCUUUCGAAUAAGCACCGGCUAACUACGUGCCAGCAGCCGCGGUAAUACGUAGGGUGCAAGCGUUAUCCGGAAUUAUUGGGCGUAAAGAGCUCGUAGGCGGUUUGUCGCGUCUGGUGUGAAAGUCCAUCGCUUAACGGUGGAUCUGCGCCGGGUACGGGCAGGCUAGAGUGCGACAGGGGAGACUGGAAUUCCCGGUGUAACGGUGGAAUGUGUAGAUAUCGGGAAGAACACCAAUGGCGAAGGCAGGUCUCUGGGUCGUCACUGACGCUGAGGAGCGAAAAGCGUGGGGAGCGAACAGGAUUAGAUACCCUGGUAGUCCACGCCGUAAAACGGUGGAUGCUGGAUGUGGGGCCCAUUCCACGGGUUCCGUGUCGGAGCUAACGCGUUAAGCAUCCCGCCUGGGGAGUACGGCC
rnacentral:rRNA from 1 species